rnacentral:lncRNA from 1 species
AAGAAGUCAGGCCAGAUUAAGCCAUAGUACGGAAAGAGCUAUGCUGCCUGUGAGCCCCGUCCAAGGACGUAAAAUGAAGUCAGGCCGAAAGCCACGGAUUGAGCAAGCCGUGCUGCCUGUGGCUCCAUCGUGGGGAUGUAAAAACCCGGGAGGCUGCAACCCAUGGAAGCUGUACGCAUGGGGUAGCAGACUAGUGGUUAGAGGAGACCCCUCCCCAGACACAACGCAGCAGCGGGGCCCAACACCAGGGGAAGCUGUACCUUGGUGGUAAGGACUAGAGGUUAGAGGAGACCCCCCG